rnacentral:misc_RNA from 1 species
AAGUCGUAACAAGGUUUCCGUAGGUGAACCUGCGGAAGAUCACCAACACGUAUCCUGCUACAGUUGGAUCUUGUCGCACCCGUUUUCUUAAACCACCGCUGGAAAACUAGUCUUCCCGCAAAAGUACCCGCUCGGGGGCCUGAGAACCUCCGGAGCUAGAAUACCCAAACAACUGUUAACAAUGGAUAUUUUGGCUC